CUUUUCGUGGCGUCUUCUCCAGGCCUUCUUCUCCCGCAGCCGCAGCACGCCGAAGCUUCUGCAGCUCCUCCGCCGGUCCGACGCCGACAACGCCGCGAGUUCUAACCGCCCUAAGGAAGUCGCCGUCCCAACGCCUGGCGUCGGUGGUUCCGUCCGAUCGACGCCGAGCGCCGCCGGCCACCGGUCGGCCGGCGCUUUCGAGAAUCUCCGGGUAGACUCCGGCGAGAUGCGCGUGCUUCAUCUCGCCCAAACCGGGCGAGGGAACCUAACGAAAAGCUAGAAGAACGACAUGGACGAUGGGUGACAAGAGUACGACCCCGAGCAACGCAGAAAAAACCAAAAACCAAACUCCGGUCGAGGGUUGGGUGCGGCGAUUUCAUUGAGGCAUUUCGUCGAACAGCCACUGGGCAUUACCAAAUUCAGAGGUUUAAGGCUCAACCGGGCCUCGAACACACUUUAGAG
rnacentral:lncRNA from 1 species